rnacentral:rRNA from 1 species
UACGAAGGGGGCUAGCGUUGCUCGGAAUCACUGGGCGGAAAGGGCGCGUAGGCGGACUCUUAAGUCGGGGGUGAAAGCCCAGGGCUAAACCCUGGAAUUGCCUUCGAUACUGAGAGUCUUGAGUUCGGAAGAGGUUGGUGGAACUGCGAGUGUAGAGGUGAAAUUCGUAGAUAUUCGCAAGAACACCAGUGGCGAAGGCGGCCAACUGGUCCGAUACUGACGCUGAGGCGCGAAAGCGUGGGGAGCAAACAGG